rnacentral:rRNA from 1 species
UACGGAAUGUGCAAACGUUAUUCGGAAUCACUGGGCUUAAAGAGUCCGUAGGCGGCAUGUUAGGUGAGGUGUGAAAUCCCCCGGCUCAACCGAGGAAUUGCGCUUCAAACCGGCGUGCUUGAGGAAGAUAGAGGUGGGCGGACUGAUGGUGGAGCGGUGAAAUGCGUUGAUAUCAUCAGGAACACCGGAGGCGAAGGCGGCCCACUGGGUCUUUUCUGACGCUGAGGGACGAAAGCUAGGGGAGCGAACGGG